GUGGGGAAUAUUGGACAAUGGGCGAAAGCCUGAUCCAGCCAUGCCGCGUGUGUGAAGAAGGUCUUCGGAUUGUAAAGCACUUUAAGUUGGGAGGAAGGGUAGUAACCUAAUACCUUGCUGUUUUGACGUUACCAACAGAAUAAGCACCGGCUAACUUCGUGCCAGCAGCCGCGGUAAUACGAAGGGUGCAAGCGUUAAUCGGAAUUACUGGGCGUAAAGCGCGCGUAGGUGGUUCAGUAAGUUGAAGGUGAAAUCCCCGGGCUCAACCUGGGAACUGCCUCCAAAACUACUGAGCUAGAGUACGGUAGAGGGUAGUGGAAUUUCCUGUGUAGCGGUGAAAUGCGUAGAUAUAGGAAGGAACACCAGUGGCGAAGGCGACUACCUGGACUGAUACUGACACUGAGGUGCGAAAGCGUGGGGAGCAAACAGGAUUAGAUACCCGGGUAGUCC
rnacentral:rRNA from 1 species